rnacentral:tRNA from 1 species
GGAGGGGUGCCCGAGCGGCUGAAGGGAGCGGUCUUGAAAACCGUCGAGGUGAUGAGCCUCCGUGGGUUCGAAUCCCACCCCCUCCG